CCGCGGUAUUUUGACCGUGCUAAGGUAGCAUAAUCAUUAGUUUUUUAAUUGAAAGCUGGAAUGAAGGGCUGAAUGAAAAAAAGACUGUCUCUAAUUAAUUAUUUUAGAAUUUUAUUUUUAAGUUAAAAAGCUUAAAUUAUAUUAAAAGACGAGAAGACCCUAUAGAGUUUUAUAAUUUUAUAAUAUAAAAAAUUUAGCAUUAAUUUUUUUAUUUUUAUAUAAUUAUUUGAUUGGGGUGAUUAAAAAAUUAAAUUAACUUUUUUAUGUAAUUAUAUUAAUUAAUAAAUAAUUGAUCCAAAAAUUUUGAUUAUAAGAUAAAAUUACCUUAGGGAUAACAGCGUAAUUUUAUUAGAGAGUU
rnacentral:rRNA from 1 species